rnacentral:rRNA from 1 species
UACGAAGGGGGCUAGCGUUGCUCGGAAUUACUGGGCGUAAAGGGCGCGUAGGCGGACAGUUUAGUCAGAGGUGAAAGCCCAGGGCUCAACCUUGGAACUGCCUUUGAUACUGACUGUCUUGAGUUCGGGAGAGGUGGAGUGGAACUGCGAGUGUAGAGGUGAAAUUCGUAGAUAUUCGCAAGAACACCAGUGGCGAAGGCGGACUCACUGGCCCGAGUACUGACGCUUGGAGACGCGAAAGCGUGGGGAAGCGAACGAG